CACUGCCGAGAAAAGCCUCUAGAUAGAAAAUAGGUGCCCGUACCGCAAACCGACACAGGUAGUCAAGAUGAGAAUUCUAAGGUGAGCGAGCGAACUCUCGUUAAGGAACUCGGCAAAAUGACCCCGUAACUUCGGGAGAAGGGGUGCUCUUUAGGGUUAACGCCCAGAAGAGCCGCAGUGAAUAGGCCCAAGCGACUGUUUAUCAAAAACACAGGUCUCUGCUAAACCGUAAGGUGAUGUAUAGGGGCUGACGCCUGCCCGGUGCUGGAAGGUUAAGAGGAGUGGUUAGCUUCUGCGAAGCUACGAAUCGAAGCCCCAGUAAACGGCGGCCGUAACUAUAACGGUCCUAAGGUAGCGAAAUUCCUUGUCGGGUAAGUUCCGACCCGCACGAAAGGCGUAACGAUUUGGGCACUGUCUCAACGAGAGACUCGGUGAAAUCAUAGUACCUGU
rnacentral:rRNA from 1 species